rnacentral:rRNA from 1 species
AUGCGGUAUGACGGUACCCUUUCGAAUAAGAGGUUGCUAACUCUGUGCCAGCAGCAGCGGUAAUACAGAGACCUCGAGCGCUAUCCGGAUUUACUGGGCGUAAAGCGUCUGUAGGGGCUUUGUUAAGUUCCAAGUAAAAUCUUAAGGCUCAACUUUAAGUUCGCUUGGAAAACUAAUAAACUGGAGUCCAGCAGAGGUGCAUGGAACUUGCGGUGUAGGAGUGAAAUCCGUUGAUAUCGCAAGGAACACCAAAGGCGAAGGCAUUGCACUGGGCUGGUACUGACCCUGAGAGACGAAAGCGUGGGGAGCAAAACGGAUUAGAUACCCGUGUAGUCCACGCCGUAAACGAUGGAUACUAGAUGUUCGGGGAUUCGACCCCCUGGGUGUCACAGCUAACGCGUUAAGUAUCCCGCCUGGGAAGUACGGCCGCAAGGCUAAAACUCAAAGGAAUAGACGGGGAUCCGCACAAGCGGUGGAGCGUCUGGUUUAAUUUGAUAGUAAGCAAUGGACCUCACCAAGGUUUGACAUCCUAUGACAACCCUGGAAACAGGGCUUCCUUCGGGCAUAGUGACAGGUGCUGCAUGGUCGUCGUCAGUUCGUGCCGUGAGGUGUUCCGUUAAGUCGGGAAACGAACGAAACCCUCGUCGCAUGUUACAAAUUUCAUGCGAGACUGCCCGGGUCAACCGGGAGGAAGGCGGGGAUGACGUCAGACCAGCAUGGCCCUUAUACCUUGGGCUACACAGGCGCUACAAUGGCCGGUACAAAGGGUUGCAAAACCGCGAGGUGAAGCUAAUCCCAUAAAGCCGGUCCAAGUUCGGAUUGGAGGCUGCAACUCGCCUCCAUGAAGUUGGAAUCGCUAGUAAUCGUGGAUCAGCCAUACCACGGUGAAUACGUUCCCGGAUCUUGUACUCACCGCCCGUCACACCAAGAGAGUUGG